AAACACUUCAUCCGUGCCAAGCAUAUGCUUAGACACGCUUGGCUUCCUUCACACGCGUGAGAAACCUAGCCUUCGCAUGCUCGCCGUCCACCACCAUCGAUCUCUCCCUCCUCCGCCGGAUCUUCGCCGGAAAAUCUUCCGGAACACAUAACUCUCCUCUCCUCUCCCUCUGGUUCUGUCUGUUGGAAAUAUACUUCCUUCACUCUGCUCCGGCUAAUUCGCCGGAAUAUUUAUUCUUGUAUAGAUAUGAAUCUGGUUACUCAGCGAUAACCGUCGGCUUCGGUGCA
rnacentral:misc_RNA from 1 species